UACGUAGGGUGCGAGCGUUAAUCGGAAUUACUGGGCGUAAAGCGUGCGCAGGCGGUUCUCCAAGUCCGUUGUGAAAGCCCCGGGCUCAACCUGGGAAUGGCAGUGGAAACUAGGGGACUGGAAUCUGGCAGAGGGGGGUGGAAUGCCGCGUGUAGCAGUGAAAUACGUAGAGAUGUGGAGGAAUACCGAUGGCGAAGGCAGCCCCCUGGGAUAACACUGACGCUCAUGCACGAAAGCGUGGGGAGCAAACAGG
rnacentral:rRNA from 1 species